rnacentral:rRNA from 1 species
GAUGAACGCUGGCGGCGUGCCUAAUACAUGCCAGUCGAGCGAACGGACGAGAAGCUUGCUUCUCUGAUGUUAGCGGCGGACGGGUGAGUAACACGUGGAUAACCUACCUAUAAGACUGGGAUAACUUCGGGAAACCGGAGCUAAUACCGGAUAAUAUUUUGAACCGCAUGGUUCAAAAGUGAAAGACGGUCUUGCUGUCACUUAUAGAUGGAUCCGCGCUGCAUUAGCUAGUUGGUAAGGUAACGGCUUACCAAGGCAACGAUGCAUAGCCGACCUGAGAGGGUGAUCGGCCACACUGGAACUGAGACACGGUCCAGACUCCUACGGGAGGCAGCAGUAGGGAAUCUUCCGCAAUGGGCGAAAGCCUGACGGAGCAACGCCGCGUGAGUGACGAAGGUCUUCGGAUCGUAAAACUCUGUUAUUAGGGAAGAACAUAUGUGUAAGUAACUGUGCACAUCUUGACGGUACCUAAUCAGAAAGCCACGGCUAACUACGUG